GAUGAACGCUGGCGGCGUGCUUAACACAUGCAAGUCGAACGGACUUAAGAUGAAGCCUAGCGAUUCUUAAGUUAGUGGCGGACGGGUGAGUAACGCGUGGGUAACCUGCCUCACACUGGGGGAUAACAGUUAGAAAUAGCUGCUAAUACCGCAUAAGCGCACGGUGUCGCAUGACACAGUGUGAAAAACUCCGGUGGUGUGAGAUGGACCCGCGUCUGAUUAGCUAGUUGGUGGGGUAACGGCUCACCAAGGCGACGAUCAGUAGCCGGCCUGAGAGGGUGAACGGCCACAUUGGGACUGAGACACGGCCCAAACUCCUACGGGAGCAGCAGUGGGAAUAUUGCACAAUGGGGGAAACCCUGAUGCAGCGACGCCGCGUGAGUGAAGAGUAUUUCGGUAUGUAAAGCUCUAUCAGCAGGGAANAAAAUGACGUACCUGACUAAGAAGCU
rnacentral:rRNA from 1 species